rnacentral:rRNA from 1 species
CCUACGGGCGGCAGCAGUGAGGAAUAUUGGUCAAUGGGCUUACGCCUGAACCAGCCAAGUCGCGUGAGGGAAGACUGCCCUAUGGGUUGUAAACCUCUUUUGUCAGGGAGCAACGCCGGCUACGUGUAGCCGGACUGAGAGUACCUGAAGAAAAAGCAUCGGCUAACUCCGUGCCAGCAGCCGCGGUAAUACGGAGGAUGCUAGCGUUAUCCGGGUUUAUUGGGGUUAAAGGGUGCGUAGGCGGAAUGCCAAGUCAGCGGUAAAAUCGCGGGGCUAAACCUCGCUCCGCAGUUGAAACUGGCGUGCUUGAGUGGGCGAGAGGUAUGCGGAAUGCGUGGUGUAGCGGUGAAAUGCAUAGAUAUCACGCAGAACUCCGAUUGCGAAGGCAGCAUACCGGCGCCCAACUGACGCUGAAGCACGAAAGCGUGGGUAUCGAACAGGAUUAGAUACCCUUGUAGUC